UCUGUUUUUGAAUUUUUUAAAUGCUUGCAUCUUCCCAAUUUUCAAGAUCAGUAAUUUCCCUUGUUUAAGUUACUAACAAGCAUAUACAUAAAUGACAGCUUGUCCUCAUACUUCAAUGAAUUCCCGUACAUAUAUGACAGUUACUAACUAAUUCAAACUGUGCACAUGUUGAAAUUAAAAGAGAUCACUUGACUAAAUUGACCAUCACCAAGAUCCAAACAUAACAAAAAGUAUGGAAAAAUGAAACAGCUGAUGACAUUUGACA
rnacentral:lncRNA from 1 species